GACUACCGGGGUAUCUAAUCCUGUUCGAUCCCCACGCUUUCGUGCCUCAGCGUCAGUUGCGGCUUCGCGAGCUGCCUUCGCGAUCGGUGUUCUGUGCCAUAUCUAAGCAUUUCACCGCUACACGGCACAUUCCGCCCACGUCAACCGCACUCAAGAGCGCCAGUAUCAAUGGCAAUUCCACAGUUGAGCUGCGGGAUUUCACCACUGACUUAACGCUCCGCCUACGCACCCUUUAAACCCAAUGAAUCCGGAUAACGCUUGCACCCUUCGUAUUACCGCGGCUGCUGGCACGAAGUUAGCCGGUGCUUAUUCCUCCGGUACCGUCAACCCAGGACACGUCCUGGGGUUUCUUCCCGGUUAAAAGCAGUUUACAACGCGUAGCGCCUUCAUCCUGCACGCGGCAUGGCUGCGUCAGAGUUGCCUCCAUUGCGCAAUAUUCCUCACUGCAGCCGCCCGUAGG
rnacentral:rRNA from 1 species